GACGAACGCUGGCGGCGUGCUUAACACAUGCAAGUCGAACGGAAAGGCCCUGCUUGCAGGGUACUCGAGUGGCGAACGGGUGAGUAACACGUGGGUGAUCUGCCCUGCACUUCGGGAUAAGCUUGGGAAACUGGGUCUAAUACCGGUUAGGAGCCAUCUUUAGUGUGGUGGUUGGAAAGUUUUUUCGGUGUAGGAUGAGCUCGCGGCCUAUCAGCUUGUUGGUGGGGUAAUGGCCUACCAAGGCGGCGACGGGUAGCCGGCCUGAGAGGGUGUACGGCCACAUUGGGACUGAGAUACGGCCCAGACUCCUACGGGAGGCAGCAGUGGGGAAUAUUGCACAAUGGGCGCAAGCCUGAUGCAGCGACGCCGCGUGGGGGAUGAAGGCCUUCGGGUUGUAAACUCCUUUCGCUAGGGACGAAGCUUUUUGUGACGGUACCUAGAUAAGAAGCACCGGCUAACUACGUG
rnacentral:rRNA from 1 species